CAGACCCCCCCCCAUUCCUCUCUAUGGGGGGCUGAGCCCUGACCCCUCCCCCCCCUUUAUAUCCCUAUGGAGGACCCUGACCCUGAUGGUCUUUAAUUAAGGGGGGGGUUUAAUAUGUGCUACCCCCCCCACUUCCUCCCUAUGGGGGGGGUUAAUGUGUGCUACCCCCCCCAUUCCUCUCUAUGGGGGCCUGAGCCCUGAUCGUCUUUAAUUGGGGGGGUGGGUGUUAAUAUGUGCCCCCCCCCCCCAUUGUAUCCCUAUGGAGCCCCCCUCGCUUUCAGAUCGGGGGCGGAGUGUUGGCGCCUCAUGGGGGGGGGCUGUGUCGGUAUAUGUGGGGGGGGGGCUUCAUUCCGAUCCUGUAUUAAAGGAGGGGGGAUCAGCUUGUUGCCCCCCCCCCCAUCCAACGAUCUGCGGCGCCUUCGGGCCGGCGACCUCCUCCUCGUGGGGGGGGCGGUGGUGAAGGGGGGGGGGCUUUGAUGCUGUUGGCCAUGGGGGGGGGUCGGAGCCUGUUCCUGGUUAUUGCCCCCCCCCCACCCCAGGCGAUGCUGCGGGUUGCUCUUAAAGGGGAAGCGCAGUUUGCAGUCCUGGGGGGGGGGCAGGAAACGAGCUGAGCGACGUAACGGGGCGUGGGGGCCAUUUCCGCCUCCACUUCCGCUUCCUCCACUUCCGCUUCCUCCUCCACUUCCGCUUCCGCCUCCACUUCCGCUUCCCAUCAUCCCCAUCAGCCGGGCCUGUUCCUGCCGUAACCAGCGCAGCCUCCCCCGGCGGAACGCGGGAUCUUCCUCCAUUAACCGGCACAGCCGGGCCGCCGCCCCUUCUUCUUCUUCCUCUUCCGCUUCCUCUACUUCCGCUUCCUUCACUUCCGCUUCCGGUUUGGCGGCGUCUUUAGCUCCGCCCCCACUCGCAACAUCCGGGCCCGGAUCUGCUCCUCCUUGGCGUUACUCUGCAGCUUCACCUCCUUUAGGACCCCCACCAGCCUCUCCACGUGAGCCCUCAGCCCUUCCACGUCGCUAUGGGGCGGCUUUGGGGUCGGGGGGGGGUCGUGGUUUGGGGUCUGGGGGGGGUCUGUG
rnacentral:lncRNA from 1 species